ensembl:lncRNA
UAACACACUCUCACUCACACACACAUACACGCAAACUAACACACUCUCUCUCUCUCACACACACACAAGCUAACACACUCUCUCUCACUCACACAGACACACACAAACAUGGCACCUGGAGCCACAACACGUCAGUGUAGUGUUUGCUGCAAAGAGAUUGGCAGUGCCUCGAAAACAUGCAAGCACUGUGGAAUGAAGGUUACACUGAAGAAAAAUCUGGAAGACCAAAAACUUAAAUUUGAUGGCCAGUGGGCAGCCAAAUUAAAAAAAGAUGGCAAUACUUGCAAAAUUAUGAAUUCUGUGGACUUGAUUCUCCAUAAAUUGGAAUUACUGGGCGUCUCACCGAUGCUUUUUAUUACUACACAGAGAGGCCAGCACCGGUCUACAAAAGUUUUGGUCAAAAGUGCAUACAUUCAGAGCCAUCCCUCAGUACCAAUCAUGCAGAGACUUUAUGAGGCUGUUAUAAGAGGUAUUUAUUUGCACAUUUGCAUUUACAAUUUGAAAAGCUCUUCUUUUACUUAAUAAUUUACCCUUGACUUGUCCAUAAGAUUAUAAUGUCACACUAAAUAUGUUUUAAAGAGUGCAUGCACUGGCAUAACUACUGGUAGUGUGAGUGUUUUAUUAGUAUUUGUAUUAGUAUUUAUCAUUAGACAUAAAUCAUAACUGUCUCUAAAAACUAAUAUGAAUUUUAUUUAUGUAUUAUGCUUCAAUUCAAAGUUUAUUUGGAUAGCACAUUUCACAGCACAUAUUGUUUCAAGGCCACUAUACAGAAAUGUUUGUUUUAAUAUAUAUUUAGAGAGAGAGAGGAUGUUUGUUAUCAGCCAUAGAUGAGUAUUAUACUAUAGUGCUAUUCUAGGUGCUAUCAACAGAGUCUUGUGACCUUAAAGAGCGUGAUGCAGUGUAGCAUAAUAGAAGAUCAGUUAAAUCAGGGAUGUCAAAUUCAGUUCCUGGAGGGCCGGAGCCCUGCAGUUUUGUUCCAACCCUGCUUCAACAAACAUACCAUGUAGCUUUCAAAUAAGCCUGAAAGACUAGAUUAGUUGGAUAAGGUGUGUUUAAUUAGGGUUCAAUCUAACCUAUGCAGGGCUCCGGCCCUCCAGGAAUUGAGUUUGACACAUAGACUAUAUAAAAACAUGGACGUAGUGUCCGUGACGUCACUCUUAGACUCCUGAAGACAUUUCUGAAGCUCAAUGUGUGCAGAGCAGGCCGUCACCAUCUUGGCAGCGCAUCACCGCGUGACUCUCCCGGAUAAUCG